AUUGAACGCUGGCGGCAUGCCUAACACAUGCAAGUCGAGCGAGCUGCGGACGGGUGAGUAAUGUCUGGGAAACUGCCUGCUUGAGGGGGGUAACUUCUUGAAACGGUAGCUAAUACCGCCUACCGUCCGAUUUUCCCAGAUGCGAUUAGCUGGUGGGGGGGGUAACGGCUAACCUGGGCGACGAUCCCUAGCUGGUCUGAGAGGAGGACCAGCAACACUGGAACGGGGACAGGGCCCAGAUGCCUACGGGAGGCAGCAGUGGGGAAUAUUGCACAAUGGGCGAAAGCCUGAUGAAGCAAGGCCGCGUGUAUGAAGAAGGCCUUCGGGUUGUAAAGUACUUUCAGCGGGGAGGCGUUACCCGAAGAAGAAGCAACGGCUAACUCCGUGCCAGCAGCCGCGGUAAUUC
rnacentral:rRNA from 1 species